rnacentral:lncRNA from 1 species
AUGAACCAUCCAGUCAGAGAUUUCCUGAAGAAGCACAGCAAACAUAAAUCAGAGGAAAGUAAUUUCACUAUCAACAUUUUAGAAAGCCCGCAAAUAUCCUUUAAGAUUAUUAAAGAUGCAUUUGAAUGAGCUCGGCUCCGUCCUGUCCCUAAUUUUUAUCAGGCAUGCUGGCUUCAGAGCAGCUGAUGUGGUUCUUGAUUUCCCCAGGGGCUCCUGAGACGCUGCAGGCUUUCAAAUCAAGGGAGCCCUACUCCCCCAGAAUGAGAAUGAGCAAAUUUCUUUCCUGCC